CUAUGAUUCCUAAUGGGUUAAAUGAGGAAUUCAACCUGUUACCUCUACUCUAAUUCAGAACAAACAUAGUCAACUCAAGUCAGGUGUGGUGAAGCAAUUAUCAAGCAGGUUCAACUCAUUGCAUGCUACAGAGUUCUAUAUUUCUUUGAAUUUGGGUUUCAGUUUGCUUUACAUGACAACAGCAAUAAGGAAAAUACCAGAAAAAGGUUGUCUUAAUACUUUACUGAAGAGUUUAAUUUUUGCAAUCCUACUCAGAAGUAAGUCCCACUGAGUUCAAUGCAGCUUACUCUUGGAGCAUGGGCUUCUCAGUUUGGGCCCUAAAAUUGUCGAAAUCUCCCCUCAGAGAGAUCCAUCGAUGUUCAUUCUUGCUAUCUUUGUGGAGGGUGGAAUAGACCAGGCCUGUUUGAACACUGGCUGCAGAAGAGCUGUUGUUUCAGCAAAGGCCUUCCAAGGUCUUAUGAAACCUGCUCUCAAGUACCAAACACCACACCAUGUCAGCUAUGAAAUGCCUAAUACUAUUGCAUGUAAUUUUUCAAACUACUAUAUGU